AUGCUACUUACACAUUUUACAAUCUUUAUUUUGAUGUGUGGAUUUUAUUCCCGAUUUCAUGCUAUCGCACAUGCACAAAUUCAAACAGUUCAGACCCAAAAAGAAGUUCAGCGUGGAUCUGACGUGUCUUUGCGAUGUGAUGUCCGUCUUCUGUCUAAAUCCUCCACAUUGAACUGGGAGAAAGAUGGAGAACACACACCCAACAGCACUCUGAUGUACAACAACUCUGCCUACAUCAUCUUACACACCGUUGAUGAACGCAAUAAAGGGAAUUAUUACUGUAGAUUGAUGGAAGAUGGAAGCGUACAAACUGUUAGGAUUCACACACUUAAUGUUACUUCAAAUUUAUAUGGAAGUCAAACCAUUUACAGACAAAGCCCCUUUCACAUCUCACCUGUGAACUUCAAUUAUAGUGGGACAUACAGGUGUAUUACUGAAAACACAAUCUACACAACCACAAUACCAUGCACCAUUAGAGGUUAGUGAAAUAGAUAAAUUAAUAAUAGUAAAUACAUUGAUUUUUCACUUAAAUUUGAUCAUCAGACAUCCAAAACAGGAAAUUUUGUAUUUUUUAAUGUGUGAAUUGCAUUUAAAAAGUAAUUCAUGUUAUUGUUGAUUUCGGUCUCAGUGGAGCCCCCUGAUGGUGUGUUGAGGAGUCAGUCAGUGGUUCUUACCUGUGAGGUAUCUGAAGUAACUGAUUCAGUGACGCUGGUCUGGUUUAGGAUGGAGGGGAACAGAGGAGUGCUGGUCAAACAGCAAAUUAUGACUGAGAAAAACAACAUGUUACGUCUCACAGUGAAUCUAGCCAGCUAUGAAACAGACCCGCUGCACUGGCAGUGUGCAGUUUUUACUGAGAAUACACUCUGAGGUGAGUGCAGUACAGUUCAAAACAGUGUAUAUGCAUAUAAUGUAUAUAUUUUACAAUAAAGUAAUGAUGUUAAUUUAUUGUGCUACCAAUUGGAAUUGUCACUUUCCCCCAAAAUAGUUUAUUUUUUGCUAUUAAUUUAUCUUGUCUUUCAGACACCAGUUACAUCAGACAGUAUGACCUACGCAACCAUUGUUUUCAACAAAUCCAGGUUUCAGACUUAAAAUAUAACUCCAGUCUAUAAUGAGAACCUGAGGGAGACACAAUUUCAUAUAAUGUUUUAUUUUUUAGAUAUGAACCUCAAACCAAUAUCUCACAGAGAAAGUAUAAACAUUUUCUUUAUUAAACAGCAGAUGGCGCUGUCUGGUUACAUUAGCUAUAAUCUGAGAAUGCAUUAAGAGGUUCUCAGACCUAACUGCCUUCAUUAAACCACCACCACAUAUAUUAAUCCUACUGACUGAAACUGGAUAACUGCAUCCUGUUAUUAAUGUUGUGUUAAUCCCAUUUGUAAAAGCAUCAACUAAGCAUCCAAAUAUUAUUAUGAUUUUGCAUUUGUUAUAUUAUAGUUGCCUUCAUAUAUGUGCAUGCAUGCUAGUGAAAUGGCCAUUUGAUGGCACUGUUUGAAAACGUUCUUGAAUAAUAAUAAUAAUAAUAAUAAAGUGUAAGUACUAAAUAGGAUAAUGCAGUUACAUCCUCUUCUCUCUCACUCUCUCUGUCUGUCACUUUCAUCCUCCUGGAAUCCACCCAGAACAUGCUGCUUCAUUGUACUUCAAUCUAAAACACAAAAGUGUGGAAAAAAGUAGUUUGAAUAGGAUGUCUUCAUGGACAAGGGAUAAUGCUCCUCGCAAACUCAAGGUUGCUCUGCUUUGUAUAAAUGUGUGUCUUUAUUUAAACAUGGUGGGGGGAUUUUAAAACGCUUGACAAGGUCUGCUAAGUAGAACCACUGAGUGAUGAAGAAUUCAAAUGCACAUAAAUGAUGUUCUACGAGGAGGGGAAAGGCAGAUGUUGACAGAAUGGGCUGCAUAUAAGGAAAAAAAACCAAGGUUAAUGCAUUUUGAAUCACAUCUUUGUCUCUGAAAUGUAGGCUUCAGAUAAUCCCAUUUUAUUAAGGUCCUGACCACAUCAUGCAGUAAAGACUUAUUACGAGGAGCACCAUGAGUUUGGUCAAGAUGGGUAGAAUCUUAUCCAAAGUCUUACUUUCAACCACUGACAAUCACAGCACUUUUCUAGUUAAGCAAAGCUUUUCUGCACAGCUUAAUCUCCUUGACUUUGAAUUAAUAUGUUCAGUUUCCUAAAAUCGCU
rnacentral:lncRNA from 1 species